rnacentral:rRNA from 1 species
CAGCAGCCGCGGGAAUACGUAGGGUGCGAGCGUUAAUCGGAAUUACUGGGCGUAAAGCGUGCGCAGGCGGUUAUAUAAGACAGAUGUGAAAUCCCCGGGCUCAACCUGGGACCUGCAUUUGUGACUGUAUAGCUAGAGUACGGUAGAGGGGGAUGGAAUUCCGUGUGUAGCAGUGAAAUGCGUAGAUAUGCGGAGGAACACCGAUGGCGAAGGCAAUCCCCUGGACCUGUACUGACGCUCAUGCACGAAAGCGUGGGGAGCAAACAGGAUUAGAUACCCCCGUAGUCCCUGUCUCUUAUAC